GGUUAGGGAACACCGCGGUGGCGGGGAGCAUAUGAGCGCACCUCCUGGCGGAGCCUUCUUAUUUCGACCUCCAAACCCUGCACCUCGGCCUGGGAGUCUAGCAGCAACUCGGCCUUCUCUUCCCUGGAGGGAAGGGGAGGCUGGAGAGGGUCUGGGGGCCCACAACCCCCAGCCCUUCCCAAGCGUGGCCCCUCCUGUAGCCACCAGGGCUAGGGUCUCAUCCAGGCUUAAUCUGCCCCUCUCCACUCAUUCCCCUUCCCAGGCUGCGCACACUCACAGCUCCUGCCGCAGACGCCGCAGCUGAGCCUUGGCGUUGGCCAGCUGCAGGGCCAGAUGGUGCGAGGGGCCCUCGGCGGGAGCCCUAGAGGGAGCCUCAGGCCUCAAGCAGAGGGGUUCUCGCUCCAGCAGCAGUUCAGCCAGCCGCUGUAGGUCCGGGGUCAAGGGUCAGGACUAACUUAUCCAAUGCCUCUGCACAUCGACCCCCAACCACAACACCAGACAUGGGGUUGUGGUCUGGGGUCUUGGGCCAUCUGGUUGUGACAGUCCCGAUGGCCCAAGACCUCAGACCACAACCCCAUGCCUGGGCCCCAAACUUCCAUCUCCCUUGCACAACCGGCCCCCUGAUGGUCCUCCAGUUCCUCAGCCUGAGUCCACGAUGCCCCUGCUGCCCCUACCUGGGCCCCCAGGUCACGCUCCCGCGCCAGCCUCGACAGUGUCCCCAUCAGGCUCCGGGACAGCAUCUCCAGCUCGGCAGGUGUCAGCUCCCCAGGCUCUGGCCCAGAGAGUGCCAGCACCACGCCGGUCCCUGGCUGGGUCACCUGGGGCGCAAGGAGAACAGUUCAGUGGAAGACGCGGUGCGGCAAGGGCGUCCCAGGCGCCAUACCAGUCUGGGCUGCCGACCCGUCUCAAUACCUCCUGGAUGGCAGCGGCCAGCUCGCUCUGGACCUCGAGACUGAGGCCCUGGAUGUGGCGGAUGAAGAGUUCCCGGUGCUCACACUGAGGGGCAACAGGAAGGGGAGCUGGUGCAGGAUCUGCCUCCUCUGCCGCCAAAGCUCGACCCUAGCCUUUCCUUCCCACCCCCAGCUCACCUGUACUGACGCUCCCAAGAGUAGCCGAAGAACGCCUUCCAGCUGCUCCACCGCUUCUUCUGCAAGGCACAUGUCACAAGGGGUUAACUGGGGCAGGGAAGGUAGAGUAGUGCGGGGGCAGAGGCAGGAGGGGGUGGAUGGGAAGAGCACCUGAGAGGGGGUCAAACCCCAGUGUCUGGAGGUCUGGGGGUGGCGACAGGAUCAGCAGCUGCAGCUCCUCCUGGAGGCAGAGGGGCAGACUAUAUGAGGGGCCUUCUUUCGAAGGGGCUCCCCUUCCCCUCCCGUCUUCGCCUUUCGCUCGAGACCCCUUACCUGGUAGAAGUCCCUCAGUCGGCUCCACAGGUGGUUCAGGUUCCACACUCGCCAGGCAGCAGGUCCGUCAAGGCCUCUGAGCAUCCGAGGCCCCCCUCGGGAGGUGGGGGCACUAUGGGCAGGAGGUGGAAUCGAGGACCCGCCUCCCGUCAACAGGCCCCGCCCAUUGCCCAUCAGGCUCCGCCCACCCACUUCCCCUCCCCUCGGAUCCUUCCCCGCCACCUCCCUGGCCCGAUGCCCCUUACAUGAUGCCCAGCACCCGGAGGAGCAGGGCCCCAUCGCUGAGGCGCAGGAACCUCUUCUCCAGCCAAAGGGGCCGCUCUUCCUCCUCUUCCUCUUCUUCCCCCUCCGACUCCUCCGCCUCCCCAACCAGCCCGGCCAGUCCUAGCGCCUGUGAGGAGCCCAGAGGGGUCGGCUGACCAGCAGAGUGAACCCUGAGCCCCUCCGACGUGCCCCACAUCUCCGCAGGGCUAGCCCAGAGGUCGGCGGUGGAAGGCCCACAGCUCCCCUGGCUCCAUGGACAGUGGUGGAACAGCGCUUCACCUCUCUGGGCCUUGUUUUCUCAAACUGAAACUGGAGAGGAUGACCCCAGCCUGGGGCCUCAAAAGGGCUCUGGGCCUUGCAUGAUACAUACACAUGAUCAAAAACGUCAAGAAUGAGACCGGGCGUGGUGGCUCAUGCCUGUAAUCCAAGCAUCUUGGGACGCCGAGGCAGGAGGAUCACUUGAGCCUGGAGACCAGCCUGGACAAUACAGCAAUACCCCAUC